AUCAGGCUGAAGGAUGAGUAGGACUCUGCUGUGGCUGCUGGCCUCUCUGGCCUUUUUCUCUCUGACUUCUCUGGCUGAUGGAGCUCCAUUCAAGUAACAGUCGGCAGAAAGAAGGCAAAGCACUUGGAUGUUGGGCAGAUUUUCUUCUUGAUUGUGAAGAAAAAGCAUCUGCUGUGUCCCUAGAGGAUAUACUGAUGUUUGCUACAGGGCUCGCAUCCCUUCCACCUGCUGGAAUAACACCACUACCAUGCAUCGAGUUCUUGACAAAUUCGCCAUUCCCAAACACCUGUGCAAUAUAUGCUAAAGCUCCCUCUCCUUGAGACCUACAGUGUCUUUAAGACAAACAUUGAGUUUGGCUUACAGAAUUCUCCAGGCUUUUCCCAAAGCCUGGAGAACCAAGUCUGGAUUUUUUUAAACAUGCAGUUUAUAAAAGCAUGAAAGAGUGCAUGCUCAGUUCAGUUCACAGUAUUUUAAUGAUUAUUAUUGCUGUUCAUUACUUGGUUGAAUGAAAAAUCACAGAACAGAUGGUAAGUACAGGUCAUAUUACCAGUAACAGUAAAAUUGUAUUCAGCUAAAACAUAUGUAGUUUCAUAUUUGAAACAGUGUAUAACAUUUUGUGCUUGCAAACAAUACGUCUUGAAAAUAAAUUAAGAAAAUUGUUCAUGUUCUUUGGUUGUUCAGACCUACAAUUAAUACACAGUUAACUUGAUGGUGAAUCAGAAAAUAAAAAAAUAUAUAGUUUGGGAUAUUUGAGUUUAAUGUAUGUAUCCACUCUGGUAUGACACUGCAUAUACUGAACUGCACUUGCCAAACCUGAUAAUCAAUAAACAGCUAAGCCACAUUUGAGAAUGUUUUCCUUUAACAUCUGGCCUUUAAGAGUGGGCUGCAGUAGACCAUAUUUAUAGGCCAGCUAUUUCUUUCAAGGUGACAUAUAGUUCUGAGGCUGACUCCCAAUCAUGUGGCUGCUGUAAUCCAUUUUGCUCAACAGUCUGUUGAAGGUAAUCCUGGAUGUCUGGAUCACUGCAUGAAUGAAGAGUUUGCCUUGACUCUGGAAAUGUAUCCAGUUCCCUGUCUUCAACGGCCAAUCCACAGUCCCUUGAACCAAACCUGCAUAG